UGCGCACUAAGGAAAGGCGGCCCUGGAGCGCCUAGCGGAGAGCAAAGAAAGGUCGAUGAUGGAAAUCGACCGCGUGGUGGUGCUAAUACCCUCAGGAUGCGAGGCUGUCGAGGCUGUCUCCUACCAGACAGAAACCGAGGUCCAAGGAAGAGGAGGGGAGAGUUUCGGAGCCAAAUGGUUAUCCUCCAACUAGACUUUACACCCGGUGCGACUACAGAGGUUCGUGGCCGUACCCAGCUUGCGGCAGUAGCAAAAGGCAUUGAAGAAGCGGCAGUAGCACGUAGCGCACGGGUCGCAGCAAGGUACCUGCUGUCCCAAGCAGGACUCGUGCAGCCUUACACAGCGACGCGGAGAACGAGACUCGCGGUUCUGUGGAUCUAGCACCUGCAUUCGUAGGGGAAUAAGGUUCAGGAAACUCUCAAACCCCGACCCCAGUAGGGUGGCAGUGGACUGAGGUCAGGGAGGGGCUGCAGUUCUGCCCAGGUUGGGUAAUCCGGAAGUGGGGAGAGAUGAUGGUAUCUGAUGCGCCCUACCUUCUACUUUAUCCCUUUCCCUAAUGAGUUACCUCCGCCAAAGCUUCUGCCUUCUGCAGCAGAAC
rnacentral:lncRNA from 1 species